AGGACCCGUCUUGAAACACGGACCAAGGAGUCUAACAUGUGCGCGAGUCAUUGGGACUAUUAAGCCUAAAGGCGCAAUGAAAGUGAAAGUCGACCUUGCGUUGACCGAGGGAGGAUGGUUCGCGUCACGAUGCGAGCCCGCACUCCCGGGGCGUCUCGUGCUCAUUGCGAGCAGAGGCGCACCCAGAGCGUACACGUUGGGACCCGAAAGAUGGUGAACUAUGCCUGGUCAGGACGAAGUCAGGGGAAACCCUGAUGGAGGUCCGUAGCGAUUCUGACGUGCAAAUCGAUCGUCGGAACUGGGUAUAGGGGCGAAAGACUAAUCGAACCAUCUAGUAGCUGGUUCCCUCCGAAGUUUCCCUCAGGAUAGCUGGCACUCGCUUGAGCGAGUCUCAUCUGGUAAAGCGAAUGAUUAGAGGCCUUGGGGCCGAAACGACCUCAACCUAUUCUCAAACUUUAAAUGGGUGAGAUCUCUGGCUUGCUUGAACGCUGAAGCCACGAGAUUUGGAUCAGAGUGCCAAGUGGGCCAAUUUUGGUAAGCAGAACUGGCGCUGUGGG
rnacentral:rRNA from 1 species